GACGAACGCUGGCGGCGUGCUUAACACAUGCAAGUCGAACGGAAAGGCCCUGCUUUUGUGGGGUGCUCGAGGGGCGAACGGGUGAGUAACACGUGAGUAACCUGCCCUUGACUGUGGGAAAACUUCAGGAAACUGGGGCUAAUACCGGAUAGGAGCUCCUGCUGCAUGGUGGGGGUGGGAAAGUUUCGGUGGUUGGGGAUGGAAUGGCGGCUCAUCAGCUUGUUGGUGGGGUAGUGGAUUACCAAGGCUUGGAACGGUAGCCGGCCUGGGAGGGUGACAGGACCCGCUGCGCCUGAACUGCGACCCAGCCUAGUACGGGACGCAGCGGAGGAGAGUAGAACACAAGGCGCGGAAGCCUAGUGCGACCAAGCCACGUCGGGGAAGUCAUGCUUCGGGUAGGGAACCACUGUCGCUUGUCAAGAGACGUUAAUGACAGUACCGGGUGAAGAAGCACCGGCUAACUACGUG
rnacentral:rRNA from 1 species